rnacentral:tRNA from 1 species
CAAAAUGUAGCUUAACUAAAGCCUCUCGCUUACACCGAAAAAAUGUUUGUGCAACCCAAACCAUUUUGA